rnacentral:misc_RNA from 1 species
AACUUUCAACAACGGAUCUCUUGGCUCUCGCAUCGAUGAAGAACGCAGCGAAAUGCGAUAAGUAAUGUGAAUUGCAGAUUUUCAGUGAAUUAUCGAAUAUUUGAACGCAUCUUACGCUCCUUGGUAUUCCGAGGCGCAUGCAUGUUUGAGUGUCCUCAAAUUCUCAACUCCAAGGGUUUCACGACCUUUUGGGGAUUGGACUUGGAGGUGCCGGCCGCAUAUUUGGUCAGCUCCUCUCAAAUGCAUCAGCGGAAUUCAACCUUUGGCUUCCGGACGUCAGUGUGAUAAUCAUGUUGCGCUGUCGUUUGAUCCUCAGAGUCCGCUUAUAAUGGUCUUUGGACAAAUCAUCAUCAAAUUUGACCUCAAAUCAGGUAGGACUACCCGCUGAACUUAAGCAUAUCAAUAAGCGGAGGCU